UACAGAGGUCUCGAGCGUUGUUCGGAUUCAUUGGGCGUAAAGGGUGCGUAGGUGGCGCUGUAAGUCGGGUGUGAAAUCCUGGGGCUUAACCCCGGAACUGCAUUCGAUACUGCAGUGCUUGAGGACUGGAGAGGAGACUGGAGUUCAUGGUGUAGCAGUGAAAUGCGUAGAGAUCAUGAGGAAGACCAGUGGCGAAGGCGGGUCUCUGGACAGUUCCUGACACUGAGGCACGAAGGCCAGGGGAGCAAACGGG
rnacentral:rRNA from 1 species